rnacentral:rRNA from 1 species
GACGAACGCUGGCGGCGUGCUUAACACAUGCAAGUCGAACGGAAAGGCCCUGCUUUUGUGGGGUGCUCGAGUGGCGAACGGGUGAGUAACACGUGAGUAACCUGCCCUUGACUUUGGGAUAACUUCAGGAAACUGGGGCUAAUACCGGAUAGGAGCUCCUGCUGCAUGGUGGGGGUUGGAAAGUUUCGGCGGUUGGGGAUGGACUCGCGGCUUAUCAGCUUGUUGGUGGGGUAGUGGCUUACCAAGGCUUUGACGGGUAGCCGGCCUGAGAGGGUGACCGGCCACAUUGGGAUUGAGAUGCGGCCCAGACUCCUACGGGAGGCAGCAGUGGGGAAUAGUGCACUAUGGGCGGAAGCCUGAUGCAGCAACGCCGCGUGGGGGAUGACGGCCUUCGGGUUGUAAACCGCUUUCGCCUGUGACGAAGCGUGAGUGACGGUAAUGGGUAAAGAAGCACCGGCUAACUACGUG